GUUAAAGAUGUUUGUGUCUGCCGGUCCAGACUAGUCAAGCGAUCGCAUACCAACGUUUCGCAAAAGUAUUUACGCCACACCAAUUUCACGGGCCCUGAUGCAACGUUCCACAAACAUUAAUAAUAAGCUACAUGGUGACACGUCUGUCAGUGGCCAACGACAACGGAACAGCAUUCAUAACCCUACAGCCGCAUUGCUACGGAGGUGAAGUGCAACACCGGUAAUCCGGUCGGACCCACUGUAUGAUGCUCGCCCAUGUACCAGGGCUUUGUACGAGGAUCACAGAGCGCAAAAGAUGGUUUUCAUGUGAAGUCUCUGUUACAGAGAAAGCACCUGCAAGCAAUACAAAAUAGUCUUCGGGCUGGGUGGGGUUGCGCUACCCUGAAGUGACAGGCCUACAGACCAACCGCUUCAGCGCAGCACCCGGGGCGUAUAUAGCUACGCAAAACCCGAAGCAGUAUUAUCGCUUGCUGCGACAGAAGAACCAGGCAACUCCGUGCAUCGUGCAAUGCACUAGUAGCUAUUAGGAUAAAUUGGGUACGUAAUACUCAGAACAAUAGGCGCGCCUGUUUUUGCCGUUUUCUUUGCAGAAUUACCAGCACACAUGGCGUUGGAAUUGUGCGUCCAUUUGAAUUUA
rnacentral:lncRNA from 1 species